UGCCGUUGAUGUAAACAUUGGGGCAAAUCCUUCUGCUGAGGGUGGAGGUGAAGAUGAAGGUGUGGAUGACCAAGCUGUCAAGGUUGUCGAUAUUGUUGACACUUUCAGACUUCAGGUUUGUAUACAUAGUUAUGGAAAUUUGAGUCAAUUUUAACAUACCUGUUAAUUAUAUGUGAAUAAAUAACGGUUUGCUAUUUGCAGGAGCAACCUGCUUUCGACAAGAAACAAUUUGUUACCUACAUUAAGAGAUACAUCAAGAACCUGACACCCAAGCUAGAAGGAGAAGCACAAGAAGCAUUUAAAAAGAACAUUGAAUCAGCAACUAAGUUCCUUUUGUCAAAGCUCAAGGACUUUCAAUUGUAUGUCCAUUUUCAUAUCAGUUUAUGACGUUGUCUAAGCUAAUUCCUUACCGAAGUUGAAUGCGUUUUGUUUUUCCUUCUACAUACUUGGCACCUUGAAAUAGAAACUGAUACUAUGUGUGUGCUGGCAGCUUUGUUGGUGAGGGCAUGCAUGACGACAGUGCCCUGGUGUUCGCAUACUACAAGGAUGGUUCAGCUGAUCCUACCUUUUUGUACCUUGCACCUGGCUUGAAGGAGAUCAAGUGCUAGAUGUCUGGUGGAGUGCUUCUGCUAGAAGUUUUGCAUUGGAGUUUAUGUUUCAUGUAGUUUCAAUAUCUGGUCCUAUUUGCUAAUUUGUGUUUGUUUCUUCUAAACCUUGGUACUCGUUGUAACCAGUACCUGCAGUUUUUCUUCAUUAUAAAAUCUUAUUAUGUGGGACAGCAAAUGACCCUCUGAUUGAAUUGAAAGUGUUCUCUUCUAUUGAUUAGCAAUUUUGUCUAUUUGAUUCAACUCUCUGAGGCCUUGCGAACUUGUCGCUCGUCUAGCUUUUAACAUAUAUUUGAUACGACCUGAACUUGUUGGUUCGUUGCUAAUAUAGCUUCUUUGCUUGUCAUUUGUUGUUGAAAAAAAUGGAUGCCUAAAAGGAAAGGUCGAUGCUUCAUAAUUAUAUGGAUUGGGGAAUCAAGGUAUGUAAGCCUAAAAUUUAUUUUUCUGCCAAGGCUCGCCCACAUGUUUCCCUUGGAUGGAUGAAUGAAGUCUAUGUCAAACAUGCUAGAGAGGCUCAGUCGACCAAGAGAGGUGGUCACGUGUUCACUUAUCAUUUGAUUAAUGUGUUCUCGUGCACAAGAUUGGUUUUGGUGACUCUCACUUGUUUUAUGCUUGAUACAGCAAAGCCGACCCUCAUGUGUUUAAGCCCUCGUGUACAAUAGGUGUUAUGAGAUUGGUUGCAUAUGCAAUUAACAUUCAUAAGUGAUUGGUUAGCAAUAUAUCAGAAUUCAUGUAUCAAUAUUGCCCUCGAGAAUUAAUUAUUCAGUCGGUCAGUUGAAUCUAUAUAAGACACAAGAAUCCAAAGGCAAUAAUAAUAUUAAUAAUAUAUCAUGUAAUGAACAAUCUUAAGACGUGUAUAACGAGCUAAGAAAGACAUGAGUUAUGGUAUCAUAUCUUACAUGUGCUCGUCAUAUGUUGUUCUAUCAGAUAUACGAGUACGUGUUGUAUAUAUACUUGUAUAGUUGGUGAGCUCUACUUCUACCUGGACUUAAACUGUGUCUAGUGCUAUUUUAUUGUACAUAUGCUUACAAAGUAUGGGUAUAUCGAGACCUAUCCCACCCAUAUAACGGUUGUUUAGUUUCAUAUUUUAGUAGAGAUUUCGUCACUUGUCACAUUAGACAUGUGUUUCAAUUAGGCCGAUUGGCCUCCAUCUCUGUAUAAACAAUUUUUUGUCAGUUACAUCGCUUGUUCACAAAUCACAUGUUAUAUCACGUGUUAUGAUCCAUCUGUAAAAUACAUCUUCAUACGGUUCUUAUCCGCCUCAUCCAGGCUUGUGCCCUGGUACUUAAUAAGUUGAUUAACAUUUCAUUUAGGGGUUUUGUCAUUUUAUAAAGGGGAACUUUCACAUAUAGCCACUCAAAAAUAGCCCAAUUACUCUCCAUAGCUAUAGUUUGAUAAUUACAAUUUGUAUCUACAUGUUAUAGGGAGGAGAGAGCCGAGCGAGACUGGGAGAGAGAGAGAGAGGGGGCAAAGAGUGGGAGAAAGGUGAAUUGCAUAUGUAUAUAGGUUAGAUAAUUAUAUAUUAUACAUAUGUAUUUGUAUUUAUGGCAAGCAAGAUUGGGAGAGGGAGGAGAGAGGCAAGCGAGAGAGGGCAAAGAGUGGGAGAGAGGUGAAUUGUAUAUGUAUAUAGGUUAGAUAAUUGUAUAUUAUACAUAUGCAUUUGUAUAUAUGGCGAGCGAGAUUGGGAGAGGGAGGAGAGAGGCGAGCGAGAGAGGGCAGAGAGUGGGAAAGAGGCGAAUUGUAUAUGUAUAUAGGUUAGAUAAUUGUAUAUUAUACAUAUGUAUCUGUAUAUUCUAGCGAAUUAUACAUAUACAAACAUGGCUAAUUAUACAAACUCGAAGUCAGCCCGCGUAAUUAAUGUAUAAUGUUAGUCGUGAGUGGUAAUUAUAGCAAAUUAUAGCUAUAAUGAGUAAUUAAAUAGUAUAAAUUUACUUAACCGCGUAAUUUUCCCUUUUAUAAAUGUAUACAAAUAUAAUAAUAUAAUUAUUAUUAUUAUUAUUAUUAUUAUUUGUGUGAAAGAGGACCAAAAUUGUUUUUAUACGAUUAACGAAAAAUCUAUUUUGUAUAGUUCAAGAAUAUUUUUUUGCAUUUUUCAGUUUUUCUUAAAUAAUAAUUCCAAUUCACAGUUUUUCUUAAAUAAUAAUUCCAAUUCACAUUGUCUUUCAUUUUUCACCUACCUCACAAAGCACUCAUUCAUGAAGAUGGUCCACAACUGCACAUACACCUAUUAACUUCGAAAAUUAUAUAUAUAUAAAUAUGUAUAUAUACGUUGAGAUAUGAUAUAUGUUUUAUUAGGCACUCAAAGAUACAAAAACUAUUUAGGUGUGUUGAUUUAAACAUUACAAAAGUUUAAAAAUAUUGAAUAAAAAAAAGAGAAUGACUAGUUUUGAACUUGAGACUUCAUGGUGCAAAAUGAACUUCAAAACCACCACUCCUCAAAGCAAAUUAUAUCUAAUAGAUUCAAUUUAGUUCAUAUUUAUACGUUAUUAUAUUAGUUUAGUAUUUUUAUGUUUAGUAAAAUUAUCAUACAAAUCAUCAUUGGGUGACAUAUUUUAACUAAUGUGUAUUAACCAUUAAUGGUGCACCCUUUGUCUUCAAAUCCUCGAUUCACCUCUCUCUCUCUAUAUAUAUAUAUAAAAGGACCUGAGCAUGAAUUCCCUCACAAAACGGAAACAUCACGAAUAGAUAUCAUAAUGAAAUCAGUCGAUCUCUUAAUUAUGAAGUUCUUUCGAAAAGUCAUUAUAUUUUGAUUUUUAAUUCUAAAGUCAUUGAACUAUAUGUUUAUUGUUGGGUUCGAAAGUGAUUAGGGCGUCAUGCGGAAGCUUACAAUUGCAAAUCAUAUGAUUAAAUCAGACAACAAAGAAAAGUAUCCUAAAGAAAUAUUAUUGAUAUGAUUUAGUCAAACGACCUACAUAUGAUAAAACUAAUAUUAAAAAACAUAUAGAUGUUUAGGAGAAAAUCUCCUCAUAAACAAGACUCUCUAAAUCAUUACAUUGUGAAUGUUAUUGUGUUUUUGAUAUGAGAAGGGGGGUGUUCAAUUUAUAGAUCUCCUAACUUUUCCUCUAAGGAAAGAAUAAACCAAAUAUAAAAUAUAUUUUUCUUUCAUGGUAAAAAUAUUUAUGGUAAUGUUUUGUCUUUUCUUUUAGGAAAAAACAAACUUCAAAUAAGAUAAGAAAAUCAGGGCAAAACCCUAACAAAUCUAAUCUUUUGGCUGAAUUUUCUUGACAAAACUUGAUAUGCCUUCUUCGUAUGCUUGAUAAUCUUGUUCUUCACAAAGUCUUCAUCACUGUUGCUUGCCAUGGUUAAAAAUAAGGUUUAAAAAGUAUGAGUUAAAAAUGGUUUUAAAAUAUUUCACUUUUAUUUUUAGAAAUUGCAACAACAAGAAUGUUGAAAAUAUGGUUGAAACUUCUUCUCCACAUGUAGGUAGACAAAAAUCUUCAUUAUCAUUAAAUUUGUUGCAAAUUGAUUUGAAACCACUUGAACCUGUCUUCACUCUUGUUCAACCAUUGAAUCAUGUGCUAUGAUACCACUUGUUGGGUUAUGAAGGUAAAUAGGAUGUCAUGUGAAAGCUUAUAAUUUGCAAAUCAUAUGACGAUAAAUUAGAUGACAACUUAAACUAUACUAAAAGACAUAAUAUUAAUUUAUGAUAGGACCAAUUGGCAUACAUAAUUAAGAACUAAUAAAAAGAAAAUAUUAAAACUGUUGAGAUAAAAAUCUCCACAUAAACAAAAUUCUUAAAAGUCUACAUUGUGGAUGUUAUUGUGUUCUACUAUGAGAAGAGAGGUCUUCAAUUUAUAGAUAUCCUAACUUUUCCUCUAAGGAAAAAAUAAACCAAAUAUGAAAAGUAAUGUUUUUUUCAUUUAGGAAAAAAUAAACUUCAAAUAAGGUAAGAAAAUCAUGACAAAACCCUAACAUUUUUUUCCCUCAAAAAGUCACUCAACUUUAAACUCAAAAUCUACUCAACGAUAUUUUAUAUACAAAGCCACUCAAUCUAUUUAGUUGAUUUUUUUCAUUAAAAUUUGUUAGAUAUAAGUAUUUAUUUAGAAUAAAAAAAUUUAAAAAUAAUUUUCUUUUUUAGAUUUAUGGGUUUUUGUGUAGUCUAUCUGAAGAUUGAUUUUGAUUUAUGGGUUUUUGUUACUGUUGAUUUAAAAAUUGUGAUGAUUCUUAGAAAUAGAUAUCUUUUUACUUCUUAGAAUUUUGACUUAAAAUAAAAAUUCUAUAUUAACAAAUUUUAAUUGAAAUAAUUAAUUAAAUAAAUUGAGUGAUUUAAUAAGUAAAAAUUUCUCGAUUAAAUAAAAGAAAGAGUGUAUUACACACACUAUUGAGGUGCAUUUCUCAAAUUAAUAAGUGAUAAUUUUUGUAUGAUACUCAUAAUCCCAAUAUUUAAGUAUGAAACUCAAAAAUAGAAAAUAAUUUAGGUGUAUUUUUUAUACUUAUCUCCUACUUUUAAUGUUUGGCAUUACCGCUAAAAACUGUUUAUUUUUAGAUGUACUUUUUUAAAAUGGCUUUUUUAAAAAGUGCAAUUUGUAUUUGACUAAUUCAUUUGAAAAGUGAUUUUAAAAGAAAAUUGUGUUUGACUAAUUUUAGAAAAAAAAAUGUGUUUAUGAGAGUCAAAUUACAAAAAAAGGUAAGUGUCAAUGUACUUUUAAUAUUAAGAUUAUUUUAUAGAGAGGAACUAUUUUAAAUAUCUAUUACAAAAAUUUUAAUUAAAAUAUACAUAUUUAAAUUUUCAAUUAAUAUUAUACAUAAAUGAAUAAAUAUUAAUAUAAUAUUAACAUGAUGGUUUAAUAUAAUUAAAAAUAUCAAGCAAAACAAAUUUAAAAAUCAUUCCACAAAUUAAACCACUAUAUAUGAAAAAUUCACCACAAAAAUAAAUAAAAAAUUUCAUAUUUUUAAUCCUACAAAAAUAUCGCUGUUACGUUUAUUUCUAAUUUUGUAAAAGAAAAUGUAAAAUAAUAUAUAAAAUAUAAAAUAAUAAUAUAUAAACAUAAAAUAAAAUAAAAUUUUAUUAUAUAAAAACUAAAAAAUAAAAAUAAAAUUCUUGAAUGAAACUUAAUCAAACUUAUCAGAUAUGCUAAUUAAUUAAUAAUUGAUAUAUUGAUAAAUAUGUGGAAAAAAUAUUUUAGUCUUAAAAAAAUAAUUUUCUAUUAUUUUUUUUCAAGAAGCAAAAUUUUUUAACUUCUUACCAACAUUCCGAACGAUAGAAAAAUUAUUUCUAAUUUAUUUAAAAACAUUUUUAAGAAUUUAUCAAACUCUUAAUUUUAAAAAAAUAAAAUUUUAGAGACAUUUUUGACGUUCCAACCGCCAUGUAAACGGGCUCUUAAUCAAGGUAAUUUUAAUCCACCCUGGUGCGGACUGCGGCGGCCGAACCCUACAAAAAAUGGGUCAUGUAACUACGUAAUUUUGAAAUUUAAGUCGGUUUAUUUUUAGAUUAUAAAUACCAAAUCCCACUCGGUUACAGCAAUCCCGAAUUCUCCGGUUAUAAAUACCCGUGUAACGCUCUCGAGCCUCCAUUAGAGUCUUUUUUCUUCCUCUCUCUUCUUAUUGUACUCCUCUUCCCUUUCAGAGAGAGAAAGCAAAAGGUUAAUCUGCCAUCAUGUUGGUUUAUCAAGAUCUCCUCACUGGUACUUUUUAAUCUUUGUGUUUCUUUACUUUUAUUGAAUGUCCGGUUCUGUUUUGAGCUCUUUUUUUCUUUUCUUUUUCUGGUUAUCGUUUUCCGUCAUUCUCUUGCUUAUGUUUUGUGUUAAUUUUAUGGUUGAAAAUUUGUGAUCUUGAGUUUGUUUCGGAUAGUAUUGUUUUAUUGGCUUGUAUCUGAUAUUGAUGGGUCAGUUUUUUGUUCUAAAGAUAAUGAAAUUUUGUAUGAAUUUUUGUUUCUUUGAUGCUUGAUAAGAUCUGGUUGAUUUAGCUGGUGUUACUGAAUGAUUUCCCGAGGUCCUAAGCUCUUAACGCUUCCUCUUUUUUUAUUUAUUGAUUAUUGGGGGAAUUAAGGAACUGGAUCUGAUCUGGAUUUUACGUUUCAACCCAUCGUAGGCGAUUUAAGCCCCAAAAUCUUUUACCUGUGAUCCUGAAUAAUGUGUAUGAGUGAUUUGGAUCCACGAGAUCUUAAUUUUUGUUGUUUCUUGUGUGAGCUGUGAGCAACACCUAAUUUACUCUACCUAUCUGUUUAUAGUGCAAAUUUUGUCAAUUUUAUGUAACAAACAUUAAAAGAUGUGUUCUUGCGCAAGCUCCAUAGAUCUGCAAAAAAUAAUAAUUGUGAAGGCAGUGGAUUCUAGUAAUUUCAGUAUCAAUUUGAACAUCUUAUAGUUUAUCUGGGCUACGGAAAUCAUAAAGAAAAUUAGAGUAUGCAGGCUUCUUUCUUCUUCUUUUUUCUGUUUGACCUCUGAUUCUUCUAUUGGUUAUCUAUAUUAUUGGUUGUUUGGUGCACCUCUGAGUUUCUUUAUAUGCACAAGUUCCCUAGUUUCUAGAGUGCUGUGUUACUGUGUUUUUGGACAAACUGUCGAGUUUUACCUUGCUUUCUGCACUCAAUCUCAAUGGUUUCCUAUAUAGCUCCGCGAUUUGGAUUCAUAGAGCAUGUAGGGUUUUUUCUGUUAUACGGACUUUGAAAGAGGACAUUCAGCUUGUAGGAAUUUUUGGUUUUCAUAUAUGGCCCCUUUAUGAUAUGUUACUACUUUUUAAAUUUAAAACACUUGAAAACAUAUUGCAGGUGAUGAGCUUCUCUCAGACUCAUUUCCCUACAAAGAAAUCCAGAAUGGAAUGCUUUGGGAAGUUCAAGGGAAGGUAGGGUCUCCAGUUAAUUAUUGCUCCCAAAUUUCCAUAUAUUAGCAACCAAAUUUUGGUGGCCUAACUAGUCUAUGUAAAAAGAAAUAAUGUGGUGUGUUGGUUACAUUACAGUGGGUUGUUCAAGGUGCCGUUGAUGUGAACAUUGGGGCAAAUCCUUCUGCUGAGGGUGGAGGUGAAGAUGAAGGUGUGGAUGAUCAAGCUGUCAAGGUUGUCGAUAUUGUUGACACUUUUAGACUUCAGGUUUGUAUACAUAGUUAUGGAAAUUUGAGUCAAUUUUAACAUACCUGUUAAUUAUAUGUGAAUAAAUAACGGUUUGCUAUUUGCAGGAGCAACCUGCUUUCGACAAGAAACAAUUUGUUACCUACAUUAAGAGAUACAUCAAGAACCUGACACCCAAGCUAGAAGGAGAAGCACAAGAAGCAUUUAAAAAGAACAUUGAAUCAGCAACUAAGUUCCUUUUGUCAAAGCUCAAGGACUUUCAAUUGUAUGUCCAUUUUCAUAUCAGUUUAUGACGUUGUCUAAGCUAAUUCCUUACCGAAGUUGAAUUGCGUUUUGUUUUCCUUCUUACAUACUUGGCAC
rnacentral:lncRNA from 1 species